AGGUGGCAGUCCAUACGUCAUAUCCGUAUUCGUAGCUCCAUUUUGAUUUGAGAGAGAUUCACCUAUUACUUAAAGAAGUCGGAUUAGCAUUGGCAAUGGGUACCUUCAUAUAGCAUUCCGUCGGAUGCAGAAGGCCAGCUCGAUUCGAGCAGAGAGAUGAGUCUCUCAAUGUUAUGGAUUCAGAGAUCAAGGAUUCUGCUUGUAAGGGGUUCUCUUAUGGUGGUUUCUGUAGCAGAUCCGUCCCUGUUGACGCAGGUGAAGGUGUUUCAGUCAGUCAAGGCUCGUGUUGUGUGGGAUGACAUACUGCGCAUCGAGUCAAUAGGAUAUCUCCGAGUGUCCUGAUCCAGCAUCUAUCUAGUUACCUCUUCUGGUUUUUCGACAAUGAUCUUCGUCCGGGGAGGUUUUAAUAGAUUUAGCGUCGUUGCGGAAUAUACUUUGAUUGUUGUGUUAUUGUAAUUUAUA